CCACCCCCCAUCUCUCUCUGUAGAUGACAUUAACAUGUCUUAGUCACCGUGUUCUCCAGAACCACUGCAUCUAGAACCUAACAGAGCUAGUUAGUGCCACAAUAGGGAAAACCAGCUUGAAAAUGGUUAGGAAAAAAAAAAAAAUGGCAGGCACCUAUAAGGUGAAUCUCAUCUUGGGGGUCUAAGGCUGCUUGAAAGCAGGUAGGCAGCUUUGAGCUGUGAGCGCCCCUCACAUGCACUUUGGAGCAGCAGACGCUAAGCCAGCUCUUCUCCAAGUAAGGUAGGAAGAAAACGAGGGGGCUGAGUUUGGGAGAGUUCUGAAAAUUCUAACAAGCCUUCUUUGUUUAUCUUCUCUAGGCUUCCGCAGCCGGUCUGCAUGUAGUUGGGAUAAAUUCAGCCCAGGAGGAAAAUCAGCGCUGCCUCCCCCUCUCUCCUCCCAUUUUAGGUGAGAGGAGGAGGUGCCGUGGGGGUAGAGAAAGAUUUGGAGAGCUCGCCAGCUGCGUACUGAAGUAACAUCUGAAACACAUCUGGCUUCUGCUGAGGACAAAGCGCUAUGUCAGAGGAGGAGGAAGAAGCUGGAAAGGAACCGUUGUGGAGUUGGCAUAUGGGUCACUCUAAAAAACACAGCAAAGCACAGAUGGCUCAGUGAUACAGGAUGCUCUUCAGCAAGUCUGAGGACCCUAAUGAAACCAGAGCCACAGUCACAGUGUGCCCACUGGCCAGCUCUCCUAAAUUAUUAUUCCAUGCUUCUUAGAAAUUUCAAGGGAUGCCACUUCUUUUGAACAUUUGAAGCCCUAAAGGCACUGACAUCACAUAACUGAAAGUUUUGAUCAUCACCAAUCCCAUCCUAGCUUCCAACCGACCACACUCCUCCCUACUGCAGCACCGUUGAUGCAGUUUCCCUGUUGGGAACGUCAGUUAAAGCAGAAGUUGAGCCCAAACUGCUUAUGCCAAGCUUCAAGGGCUUACUUGGAGCAACAAGCAAAGAAAAAUGAGUUGUCUCACAAGCUGACACCAGCAACUCUUUCCCUGUCCACAAAAUGUUCACCAAUAUCUGCCCAACACUAGCACACUCACAAGCAGCUCCUAGAACUGCAGUGCACGGAUGUCAGGAUGAGGCUGGCCUGUGGUACUGCAGUGCACAAUAUUUUUAGCAUCCUUUCCCAACUAGCACAAUUUCUCAAAAGACAGUGUUGCUAUGCACCUACGCAUUCACCGAAUAGAACGUGACCUUUCUUUUACCUUUUGCUUAAUUUUAUUCUUGAAAUUUGGUUGUAAUACAGCAGUAAGAUAUGAGCUACAACUUGCCUCUUGAGAUGUGCCAUGAGGUACCGGAGCGUCUCGCAGUGGGCAGGCGGCAGUGAUCUCAGUGCUUCGUGAAGGGUCUCCAAUUGCUCGUCGGGGUCCAUAAUUUCUACAACAUCAAGGAGAGAUGCUCUAGAAGAAAACUGAUGUGUGCUCAUGGAGCGCUCAUGGGAUGCUUUUGUAAAGCAAGUGAAAAUGAUUUCUCACAGCCAAAACCCAGCUGUCCAAGGCCACCUUAGGUUCAGUGUGGGAAUACAGCUUAAUGGGCCUUUUCCCCUUGAGGGCCUUAGGGCCUGGCACUUGAGGAAAGUGGAUAUACAAGAUAUUGGGUAUGCAGCUCUAUCACAUGCAGAUACAUGUAGAGACAUGGAGAAAGCCUUACACACGCUAAGGAGUUCAUCUGAGAAUGGCAUACAUAUUGCUCAGGAUAUUAAAAAUCCCUUUGUAGUAUACACAACAAGAUGGUCCACUGCCCCUGUGAUUCCUGGCAAGUCUUCCUGAUAAUUUUUUUCAUGACAUUGUUUUUCUUUGGAGUGAUCCGGAAGAACUCAUGCCUCAUGCAUGCCAGACAAGCACUCUACCGCUGAGCAAUAGGCAGCUCUUUAUUCUUCUAAAUCAAGAAAUGGAUCAUCUUCCAUUUGCUUGCUGUACUUAUUAUACUUGGUGUUAUAUAACAAAAUGAAGUCUCCCUUCAAAGCAUGGGCACUCUCCAUUUCUCGAGUAUGUUCUGAAGAACACACUGCACACAAGUCUAAGUGUGCUGUGCCAUGGUGGGACCUUGGAUAACAGGGUUCCCCUAAAGGAGUCCAUCAUGAAGGGAGACCUCCAUCUCGUCACCUGAGAGCUGCACUGAGGCCCAGACACCAGCCACUUUCCGUAAGAACUCUGCUCGAGCUCUCAAUCACACCUGUAAUACAAGGAGCUGAUGCUGUAGGAACUCUGUGCUCUUGAAGAGCACCACAGUACACCAGCUCUCUGGUUACAGGAGUGCCUUACACGCUGGUCUCAGCCAACCACAACAGGACCUCACACUCCUACCCAACAUGAUAACCUCGAAAUGCUGGGAAGACUCCAUCGGCCCUGUACCCAAUGUUUAAGACAGAAGACUGAAACUCUAGUCUCUAACAAAUAACCAGCUCAAUGGCAAUGUAGACUGGGUCCAGGAAACGCCAGUGCAGAGCAAAGGCUGGGCCCAGGCACGUCGAGCAGAUCUAAUGACUGUCAGAAUAUAUAUCAUCAGUGACUGAGACCAUUUAGUUCAAAAGGACCUUUGACUACUCUACAGUUUUGGUCCAAAGCUUCCUCAAUUCCCUGUUCAUUUCUUUAUAAUAAAGAAUAUGUGUUUUGCCUUUUGCCAUA
ensembl:antisense Chn1os3 chimerin 1, opposite strand 3